rnacentral:lncRNA from 1 species
UUUGAUUUUGGGGAGGAAGAUGGUGCCAGGGCGCGCGCAUUUUAGGUUUAAAAUUAUUGUUUGCUUUAUUUUGAUUGGAAGCAACAAAGAAUCACCAAGUGACUCACAGCCCAGUGGUGGGCGCGCUGAGUUGAAUUGCCAAGGGGAGGGGUUCGAAUCCCAUCUCCCCCAUUUGUGUUUUUUUUUCUUUCUUUGUUUAAAAAGUGCAUUUUUUUUUAAUGUUUUCUUUUAACAAUUUCCAUUUUGAUUUUCAUUUUUUCUUGUUUUACUUAACAUGAAAUAAAUAUGUGAACAUGAAAAAUGACAAAAAUAUGAGUAUUUGACUUUGUUGACUUUUUUUAGACCAUUUUGUGAAUUUAUCCCGAUUUUAUGAGUUCUAUUGAUUAAAUCUCAUCUUGUGUGUUUCAUGUGGUUAUUUUGAUCUUUCAGACCUGGGAUUUUUAUGUGAAAUCAAUUUAGGGUAGGAACAUGUCCCCUUAGACACUUAGGAUAAUU